CGUCAUUAAACCUGUUUAACACCAAAUAAUAAGGAAAAUAAAAUAAAAAAUUCAGGCUUGGUGCAGAAACUCACUCCAAAUAAAUUACAUACGAAAAUAUUUAUAUAAUGGUAGCAAUAUUCCAAAAUUCCAUAUUUUGGGAUUUAUACACAAAAGAUAAACAAAUUAGAGGCCAAAAGGCUGCCGGAAGGGAAAAACGGGGCCUGGAAAGGCCGUUGUGAGGAAUGAGCUGGGCCUAAAGAGGCCACUGGCAGGCAGGAGCUGGGCCUGCCAAAGCGGCCGAAAGGCAGGAGCUUUCGACUGGGGAGGCCGCAGUGAGGCGAGAGCUAGCUGGGCGUGGAGAGUCCGCUGUGAGGCUGAGGCUGGGCCCGUGCAGGCCUUCGAGAGGCAGGAAGCCGGGCCUGCAAAGGCCGACUGGAGGUCAAGUUCUGGGCCUGAAGAGGCCACCAAAAGUCAAAAGCGGGGCCUGGGAAGGCUGCUGAGAGCCAUGAGCUGGGCUGGGCCAAAAGAGUCCGCUGUGAGGCUGAGGCUGGGCCUGUGCAGGCCUUCGGGAGGCAGGAGGCCGGGAAGGCCGCCGGGAGGCAUGAGCUGGGCUGGGCCGAAAGAGGCCGCUGGGAGGCAGGAGGAGCUGGGCCUGGAGAGGCUGACUCGAGGAACUUUUGCACCUGGAGCGGCCGCCGAGAGGCCGGAGCUGGGCCUGGGGAGGCCGACUUGAGGACGACUUGGGCCUGCAGAGGGCACCGGGAGGCAGGAGCUGGCCCUGGACAGGCCGACUUGACAACAGUCUGGGCCUGCAGAGGCCGCCGGGAGGAAGAGCUGGGCCUGGAGAGGCCGACUGGAGGAAGUCCAGAGCCUGGAGAGGAUGCAAAGCAGCAAACGCUAGGCCUGGAAAGGCUGCCCUGAGGCACGGGCUUGGCCUACAGAGGCCACUGGGAGGCAGGAGCUGGGCCCGCAGAGGCUCCCGAGAGCGGGGAGCAUUGCCCCAGGAGGCCACGGUGAGAAAGAGGUGGGCCUGGAGAGCCCACUGUGAGGUAGAGGCUGGGCCUGUAGAGGCCGCCGACAGGCAGGGGCUGGGCCCGUUGAGGCCACGAGAGGCAUGAGCUGAGCCUCAAGAGGCCAGUGUGAGGCAGGAGCUGACACUUGGGCAGGUUGCAAGAGGCAUGAGUUGGGCGAAAAGAGGCCACCGUGAGGGAGGAGCUGGGCCCGUACAAGUUGCCGAAAGGCAGGCGCAGCUUUGGACUGGAGAGGCAGCAGACAGGGAAGAGCUGGGCAUGGAGAGUCUGCUGUGAGGCAGAGGCUGGGCCUGUACAUGCCCUCGGGAAGCAGGAGGCUGGGCCUGGAGAGGCCGACUUGAGGCAGUUUUGCUCCUGCAGAGGCCACUUACAGACAAGAGCUGGGUGUGAAGAGGCUGACUUGAGGUCGAUUUUGGCCUGCAGAAGCCACCGGUAGCUAGGAGUUGGCCCUGGAGAGGCUGACUUGAGGACAAUUUUGGCCUGUAGAGGCCACUGGGAGGGAGAGCUUGGUCUGGAGAGGCUGACUGGAGAAAGUUCUGGGCCUGGAGAG
rnacentral:lncRNA from 1 species